AUUGAACGCUGGCGGCAGGCCUAACACAUGCAAGUCGAGCGAGCGGCGGACGGGUGAGUAAUGUCUGGGAACCUGCCUGAUGGAGGGGGAUAACUACUGUAAACGGUAGCUAAUACCGCAUACCAUCAGAUGUGCCCAGAUGGGAUUAGAUAGUAGGUGGGGUAAUGGCUCACCUAGGCGACGAUCCCUAGCUGGUCUGAGAGGAUGAUCAGCCACACUGGGACUGAGACACGGCCCAGACUCCUACGGGAGGCAGCAGUGGGGAAUAUGGCACAAUGGGCGCAAGCCUGAUGCAGCCAUGCCGCGUGUGUGAAGAAGGCCUUCGGGUUGUAAAGCACUUUCAGCGGGGAGGCGUUACCCGCAGAAGAAGCACCGGCUAACUCCGUGCCAGCAGCCGCGGUAAUAC
rnacentral:rRNA from 1 species